rnacentral:rRNA from 1 species
AAAGCGUGCGCAGGCGGUUAUGUAAGACAGAGGUGAAAUCCCCGGGCUCAACCUGGGAACUGCCUUUGUGACUGCAUAGCUAGAGUACGGUAGAGGGGGAUGGAAUUCCGCGUGUAGCAGUGAAAUGCGUAGAUAUGCGGAGGAACACCGAUGGCGAAGGCAAUCCCCUGGACCUGUACUGACGCUCAUGCACGAAAGCGUGGGGAGCAAACAGGAUUAGAUACCCUUGU